rnacentral:lncRNA from 1 species
ACUUUCUGUAAGAUUUUUGCAAGCUCUGGUGGAAAAAUUAGAUUAAUAACAUAGGAGUCAUGAAGUCAAUCAGCCCAGUUUCUGAUGGGAGAGAAAAUCAUACAGUAACACUUGUGAAAGCAAAAACUACGCUGGACAAAGUCAUACAAGCAAGGAAGGCUUUAAGAUUACUGUGCUAGAAAAGCCAGCUCCGAACCAAUUCUGCUAAAACCAAAGCCAAGAGGAUUAUUAGGUAUUGAAAUCAGGGUUAGAUCUUGACCAUUUGUGUUUACUAAUUAGCCUCACACAAAUGAAAAGUAAACUUUCUUCUGUCUUCCAGAUAAGAGAGCAUCUGCAACUCUGAGCAAGUCUGGAAGCUCAAAGGUUAGGCUAC